UACACGCUCCUUAGAUCCACCUCUGGGGGGCGCUGUUCUCUGAGCAGACGCCCUCAGCAGCUUUCUUGCUGUACAGUUGGAGGUGCCUGAGUCAUUGGCGUGUGAGAGCAAUCUACCUGUUCCCCGGCUCACCUGCACCACUGGCAACUGUCUGCUACAGAUAGAGUCAUCCAGUGUUGCUAGCCAGGGGGACGGACAAC